GUCGAGCGGACAGAAGGGAGCUUGCUCCCGGAUGUUAGCGGCGGACGGGUGAGUAACACGUGGGUAACCUGCCUGUAAGACUGGGAUAACUCCGGGAAACCGGAGCUAAUACCGGAUAGUUCCUUGAACCGCAUGGUUCAAGGAUGAAAGACGGUUUCGGCUGUCACUUACAGAUGGACCCGCGGCGCAUUAGCUAGUUGGUGGGGUAAUGGCUCACCAAGGCGACGAUGCGUAGCCGACCUGAGAGGGUGAUCGGCCACACUGGGACUGAGACACGGCCCAGACUCCUACGGGAGGCAGCAGUAGGGAAUCUUCCGCAAUGGACGAAAGUCUGACGGAGCAACGCCGCGUGAGUGAUGAAGGUUUUCGGAUCGUAAAGCUCUGUUGUUAGGGAAGAACAAGUGCGAGAGUAACUGCUCGCACCUUGACGGUACCUAACCAGAAAGCCACGGCUAACUACGUGCCAGCAGCCGCGGUAAUACGUAGGUGGCAAGCGUUGUCCGGAAUUAUUGGGCGUAAAGGGCUCGCAGGCGGUUUCUUAAGUCUGAUGUGAAAGCCCCCGGCUCAACCGGGGAGGGUCAUUGGAAACUGGGAAACUUGAGUGCAGAAGAGGAGAGUGGAAUUCCACGUGUAGCGGUGAAAUGCGUAGAGAUGUGGAGGAACACCAGUGGCGAAGGCGACUCUCUGGUCUGUAACUGA
rnacentral:rRNA from 2 species